GAAAUGCGAUACUUGGUGUGAAUUGCAGAAUCCCGUGAACCAUCGAGUCUUUGAACGCACAUUGCGCCCCUUGGUAUUCCAUGGGGCAUGCCUGUUCGAGCGUCAUUUGUACCCUCAAGCUUUGCUUGGUGUUGGGCGUCUUGUCUUCCCCUGUGGGAGACUCGCCUCAAAACAAUUGGCAGCCGGCAUAUUGGUAUCGGAGCGCAGCACAAGUCGCGCUUGUUUCCAUGAAUGCUGGCAUCCAUCAAGACCAUUUUUCACUCUUGACCUCGGAUCAGGUAGGGAUACCCGCUGAACUUAA
rnacentral:misc_RNA from 1 species